rnacentral:sRNA from 1 species
UGCCAUGGCAACGGCCAUACAUUCCCAGGAUACCUUUGGUUCACCUCCCGCCUUCACCUGGGAGCAGUCUUAUGGUUCCUCUUUGGAGUUGAAAGGGGUUAAUAUCCACUUUGGCCUUCAACAGAUGAAAUGGAGGAGAGACAGAGUAAUGUCCAAGCUGAGGGGCAGCCAAUAAGCUCCCAACAGUCACUUCUGACGUGGAGCAUCUACACCGGCAGCUUUGGGAUCAAUCCACUUUCAAGUCCUUUGAGCAGCUGUUUGCAUGCAGCCAACUAAUGAAGCUCUUUGAGCGCUCCGUUAUUAAUGGGAUGAAGCCAGAGAGGGAAUGAAGAAAGAGUGGACCAAAGAAGAGACAUUCUGAAGAGAAGCCUCCCUUUCCCUAGCCACUUGUGGAAAUCCAUUUCAGCUCAACUGGGUCCAAUUGUGAGUUUUGGCCUUGGGCAAAAUUCUUAUUUGCAGUCAAUAAAUUAAUGGCUGACACCUUGAAACGGGGCUGGCUAACUGAAUCAAUGUCUGAUGUGGCAUUGUAUCCUUAGGCCAAAUUCCCCCUGAGCUCCUUAGGCUGGAGCUGAUUGAAGCCGUGGAGGGGUCCUUGAACAUUUUUUUUUUCUAAAAAACCCCUCUGUUUUGAAAGGUAAUAUUCAGGCUCAGGCAGUAUGAGGCCCACACCUUCCCAACGUCCCUCUCUUGCUUACCCUCUCCCUGACCAGAUCGAACAGAUCGGCCUUGGACAGCGCUUGAUAAUGUGUGAAUAUCUUUGUCUACCUAUGGCAGUUUAAUGUUUCCUCUGGAAAGGUUGUCCGUAAAGCCAGAGGGGACUGGUCCCUUACAGUAGUUCCUUUGCAAACCGCUGGACAGCAGGAAGCAGAGAAGGGCGCUCUGUUGGUUCAGCUGGCUUUUACAGCUGGAGAUAACAGGGACCGCAAAUCUGCCCAGGCUCCUGUUUUCUCCGAGGGGGAGGACUAGCCGGGGAGCCAAAUAAAGAGA